UUGCCCAUUUCUUAUGUGUUUAAAGACUAAUUAUAAGAAUAAAGAUUUAGUGAUCAAUGCAGAAUUCUAAUUUAAUUGUUGAGUAUUAGAAUGCAUUUUCUCCCCCUCUUCUAACUUAGAAACUGAAUUUUUUUUUUUUUUCAUUUUUUUCCUACCUGGCAAAAGCUAAUUUAAUCCAACUGGAUUGCACAUUCGAAAUGUACAGAAUUUUGGUCCGAUUUACCGAGUAUCACUCCCUGGAUAUAGCUCAAUUUUCCCUCACAGGACUGACAGAUGCCUAAAUGCAAGAGAUUGUUCUUGUCAAGGGAGGCACUGACACAAAUUCAGUUGUGUGGGUUGUUGGCUCUGUCUGAUGUUGUCCCUUCUAAUGCUACAGAACAAAUCACCUUGCACAAGGAUCUGGGAAUCUCAUUGCUGCUCUCUUUGUUCGGGCCCAGAGGUUCCUCUUCUGCUGCACUUCUGGAGUUAGUCCUGUUGCACUGGUGCUGUUCAGGAGAAGGUGAACUGACAGUAACUCUGCUUUGUCUCUCUUGUGACCACACCAAAGAAAAAAAUGUGUUUUUCGAAGUCCUAUGUAUAAGCAGACUUGUAAGCAGGAUGAGAGAAUGUAGGAUAAUACAGCUCUUACAGGCAUCUGGUUUAUAGACAGUAAGUAUUUAUCAAGCAAGACAAAAGCCAUAUUUAUAUGAGUAUAAAUGAUAUCCUGAAAUCUGAUCACUUGUAAAUGUGUACUGAUGUGAAACAUUCUUCAAAAUGGUAGAAAUUACUUAUUCUUGUCUUUUGUAAUGCCUGUGCCUUCAUCAGAAUAUCUCUGAAUGGAAUUCUCUUCACUUUGACAUAAUAAUUACAUGGAAAUUAGGAAUGUCACUGGCAGAAGUGAUGGGCCUAUAGUGUGUUAAAG
rnacentral:lncRNA from 1 species